GACGAACGCUGGCGGCGUGCUUAACACAUGCAAGUCGAACGGAAAGGCCCUGCUUUUGUGGGGUGCUCGAGUGGCGAACGGGUGAGUAACACGUGAGUAACCUGCCCUUGACUUUGGGAUAACUUCAGGAAACUGGGGCUAAUACCGGAUAGGAGCUCCUGCUGCAUGGUGGGGGUUGGAAAGUUUCGGCGGUUGGGGAUGGACUCGCGGCUUAUCAGCUUGUUGGUGGGGUAGUGGCUUACAAAGGCUUUGACGGGUAGCCGGCCUGAGAGGGUGACCGGCCACAUUGGUACUAAGCUACGCCCCAGACUCCUACGGGAUGCAGCAGUGGGGAAUAUUCCACAAUGGGCGGAAGCCUUACGCAGCAACCCCGCGUGCCGGAUGACGGCCUUCCGGUUGUAACCCGCUUUCCACUGAGACGAAGCGUGAGUGACGGUAAUGGGUAAAGAAGCACCGGCUAACUACGUG
rnacentral:rRNA from 1 species